GUCCGUGUUUUUAUAAAAUAGUGAAAUCGUGAAAUUGUACGUUUUCCUAAGUUUUUUUCUCACUGAAGUGCUUUUAAAAAAUGGCGUUGAAAAUCAAAAAAUGACAUAUUCAAAUUACCAUCUAGACAACCUGAGCUUACAGAAAAAUUGCUAUAAGUAAAAAUCGAAUCAAAUUUACUAGGAGAAAACGUGUCCACAGAAUAGAAGAAAAUAAAAAAUAAACAUCUUAGUAAAACCAAUAGCUCCCUCACUACGCUUGGAAUCUAAAACACCACAUCUGAAAAUAGAUUGAAUUGUUUGGCAAUGAUGAAUAUAGAAAGGGAUACCAAUGAUAGAUCCUGUUGAUAUACAUUGUAUAGCUUUAACGGUUUUCGUUGUACGUUAAAGGGAAAAUCCUCUUGUUCUUCACAAGAAUCAUUGUGUAUAAAGCAUAUAAUUUAAGCUGGUUACACGCUACGCGUUUUCGUAAAUUUUGUUCAAAAUUGGAUGAGAUGGAUGGAUUGAGAUGCGUGU